rnacentral:misc_RNA from 1 species
GUCACUCAAGCUCUAAUAUAAAAUUAUAUUAUGUACAAGAAGGUCUACUACGCGUAUAAAAGUUGGUACUAGCUAGUGGACAAUGUCCACUGAAUGUUAUACAAAAUGGAUGGCUGUGAUUGUCUAAUUGGCUUGGCUCCCAUCUUUGACCCACUAGCAGUUGAAGAAAUAGACUAUCUUCUCUAUUUGGAAGGUAUGAAUCAAAGAACAAAGAAAAAGAAUUGAAAGAGAUACGUAUAGCUAGCCAUGUGAAAGUAAGGGCACAUAAU